ensembl:lncRNA
AAGAGACAUGUUUUAAAAGAAUAAUAUUUAACUUUAAUAUGAUCUCUUAUAGACAAUAGACAUUAGCUGUAUUAAAUACAUUUUGUUGGAUUCCAGUUUUCAGAGUUAAUCCACUUUUUCUUUCACAUUCUUUAAAAGCAUCAACACAUCUUAACUCCAGUCAAUGAGUGACCAACCUAAAACCCAUCAUAUAAGCGUUUUAAUGCCAAUGCAAUAGAAUCUGAAACAAUUAUUAUUUACAUGUAGAUACAAAUAUAUAUCACAAACAAGUAUUAUUGAUAAAUGUACAAUGACCAGCUCUAUAAAAUUACAAAUAUACUUCUAUUAUAAAAAGCCAUUUCUUAAAUACUCUUCCAGCUCAAGUUUUGUAUAAAGGACGCAUAGUAUGUGAGAUGGUGUUUGUCUGUCUGACAGUGUCCCAAUACUUUUACAAAGCUUAAUUUCCUUAAUCUCCUUCCUAAUAUCCUCCCCUAGUCUCCUCCAUGACUUGUAAAAGUUUAUAAACUAGGGCUGUGUCAGAAAUAAUACCCAAUGUUAUAUAGUGCAAUAGGACAUGAGGUGCUAUUUCACAUUUGCCCAUUCUAAUUGUGUAAACGAACCUAUUUAACAUAUCCAGUACAAACAGAUCAGCUCAUGAAGGAAAGGAGAUGAGGAAGAGGAAAGGAGAUGAGGAGAUGACAAUGUCUUAUACUAUUGGGACGCAGCCUUGAGAUGAAGUUGUUCAGUACUUCUGACAGCCACUUUGACUGUCCCUGUUCACAGCACUCCUGGAGUUUGUGUGUGUGUGUGUGUGUGUGUGUGUGUGUGUGUGUGUGUGUGUGUGUGUGUGUGUGUGUGUGUGUGUUUGUUGGGGGGGCGCCUGGGUGUCUGGACAGGGAGUCCCCUCCUCUCGAUGGCAACACUCCAAAAAGGGGGUCUCUGUCACUUUGAUUGGGCUCUAUGUCACAUGCCUAAGGAGAGACAGACAGAGAGACGAUGUUUGAUUAGUAAUGGACUGUAGACUCCUCUACGUACCUCAGGUCAGAGGGAUAGACCAAGGGGGCGGAGGUAAACUGUAGACCCUAAUAAUAACAUGUCGACUGACUGACUGACCCAUUGCCUAACGUGUCUAACUGACUGACCGUCCCAUUGCCUAACGUGUCUGUCUGACUGACUGACUGUCCAUUGCCUAACGUGUCUGACUGACUGACUGACUGUCCCAUUGCCUAACGUGUCUGACUGACUGACUGACUGACCGUCCCAUUGCCUAACGUGUCUGACUGACUAACUGACUGACCAUCCCAUUGCCUAACGUGUCUGACUGACUGAGUGACUGUCCCAUUGCCUAAUGUGUCUGACUGACUGACUGACCGUCCCAUUGCCUAAUGUGUCUGACUGACUGACCGUC